rnacentral:rRNA from 1 species
GACGAACCGAGCGAACGUUGUUCGGAAUCACUGGGCUUAAAGGGCGCGUAGGCGGGCCGCCAAGUUCGAGGUGAAAUCCUCCGGCUCAACCGGAGAACUGCCUCGAAUACUGGAGGCCUCGAGGCGGGUAGGGGCAUGCGGAACUGUGGGUGGAGCGGUGAAAUGCGUAGAUAUCUGGAGGAACACCGGUGGCGAAGGCGGCAUCCUGGACCGAUACUGACGCUGAGGAGCGAAAGCCAGGGGAGCAAACGGG